AGAAUGGCGUGAACCCUGGAGGUGGAGCUUGCAGUGAGCCGAGAUCGCGCCACUGCAUUCCAGCCUGGGCGACAGAG
rnacentral:snRNA from 1 species